rnacentral:rRNA from 1 species
UCCACGCUGUAAACGAUGUCUACUAGGUUGUGGAAGUUCUGACGCUUGCACGGCCGAAGCAAAAGUGAUAAGUAGACCGCCUGGGGAGUACGGUCGCAAGGCUAAAACUCAAAGGAAUUGACGGGGGCUCACACAAGCGGUGGAGCAUGUGGAUCAAUUCGAAGCAACGCGCAGAACCUUACCUGGGUUUGACAUGCUUGGAUGCCGCCUUGGAAACAGGGUUGGUUGCCCUUC